UUAAAGCAGUGGUUCUCGUACGAUCACCGAAGUUAAGCAACGUCGCGUCCGGUCAGUACCUAGGCUGGUGAUCGUUUGGGAAUACCAGGUGU